rnacentral:rRNA from 1 species
UGGGGAAUUUUGCACAAUGGGGGAAACCCUGAUGCAGCGACGCCGCGUGAUUUAGAAGGCCUUCGGGUUGUAAAAAUCUUUUGUAUAGGAAGAAAAUGACAGUACUAUACGAAUAAGGUCCGGCUAAAUACGUGCCAGCAGCCGCGGUAAUACGUAUGGACCGAGCGUUAUCCGGAAUCAUUUGGCGUAAAGGGUACGUAGGCGGUUAAAUAAGUUAGAAGUGAAAUCCCAUAGCUCAACUAUAGUAAGCUUCUAAAACUGUAUAACUUGAGAAAUGAAAGGGAAAGUGGAAUUCCUAGUGUAGCGGUGAAAUGCGCAGAUAUUAGGAGGAAUACCGGUGGCGAAGGCGACUUUCUGGUCAUAUUCUGACGCUGAGGUACGAAAGCGUGGGUAGCAAACAGG